UGUAUAUUCGCAUAAGUGAGUUUAAUAUUUGGUUUGAUUUUCAUUGUAAAACUUAUGCAAUGUGUUUAUUGUGAUUUUCAAAUUUUUUUCUCUAAGUUUACUGUUGAUGUUUUGCAAUAGUAGUACAGUUUUCUAUUUUAGCUGAUAAGAGUAUUUUAAGUUUGAUAUUUGCAUGGAAGUUAUGUUCAUCUUUUUUUAUGUUAUUUGCUGUUUUGAUUUUGUUUCUGUUUGAUUUUUGUAUUUGUUCAUUAUUUGUUUUCCUUUUUCCUGGUUACAAUUCCUUAGAAUAGGUUAGUGUUAAGAGUAAGAUAGUGGAGGGUAGGUUGUUAUUUUGGGUAGAUUUCUUAGUUUAGGUAACUGGUAAGUAUUUUUAGAUUGUGCACAAAUUCAAAAAGUGUUUCAAACACUAUUUUUUGGUUCGUGCAAAAGGGGGGAAUAUGAUAAAGGAUGAAAAGGUUUGCAAUUUGCAAAACUGUUGCAAAAAACUGAGAAAUGCAAACUUAGGAAGGACUGACAGUGGCAUGUGAUCAAGGGUCACAUGGGAGCCUGAGCCCCAGGGAUCUAGGUGAAGAUUCCAUUCUGUCCAACUGAUUUCUUGUCUCCUGAAGAAGUUGAGAUGAAGGCUUGAAGAGGAUUUUCCCUGUGAUCAAACUGAGGAAGGAGUUUUCCUGUAUCUGGCUGCUGGCAGAUCAGUCUUGCUUGGACAUCAGGACAGCUAACAACAAAAGAUCCUGGCUCUAUUUGACUUUGGACUCCUGCUUAACAGGGGACAAGUGGGAAUUUGAUGGCUAGCCCACAAGAUUGUGAGUUCUAGGUAUAGGAAAUGACAUCUUAAACUCAUUAACACUGAGUAUAUUCAGCUAGAGCUACUUGAAAGCACAAGAGUAUUCUAUUGCAAUCAUAUUCUUCAAUUUGUUCUACCACUUUUCAACUGAUGGACAUCCCUUUGCCAGAACAAAAAGAGCGGCUAUAAAUAUCUUUUAGCAAGUUAUACUUCUGGAAAUUCUCUGGCUUUCCCAUCAUACCCCUGGAGCCCAUUAUAGAAAAAAAAAAGAUGUCAUCCUACAAGAUUCCAUCAGCCUUGGUAUUGCACCAUGUUCUGUCUCCCUAAUAUAUCAUUUCAAAAUUAUCAAAAUAUCAUUUCUCGUAUGGCUAUGCUAUUGUGGAACUUGUCUGUCUUUUCCUCUAUGCAUCCACAUCAGAUUCCUUCUCCAUAUCACCUUUCCUGCUUGUUUUAAGCUACAUUUUCUGUGUUAUUUUAUUCUCUUAGAUUGUAAGCUCCUUGAAAGAAGAACUAUUUUUAUUUUAUAUUUGUAUCCUCAGUGUUUAGGACAGUGCCUAUCCAAAUCAAGUGUUAAAUAAAGUUUUAUUCACUGACAGUUCAAUUUACCUAUUUUUCUAUUCUUUAUUAAUUCUUUCUGUUUAUUCACACAAUUGAGUACUACGAUAAUAGAAUUGUUGCUUAUCUUUCAUUUUCAGAGAGUACCAAUAACAUCAUGGGGUGGUGUCUUGACCUAUGGAUGAAUUAGAUUUAAGUAAGGACAAGUUGUACAACUUUGUGAGCCUCAUUUUCUCUUCCAGAGUCAAAGUUCAGUGGCAACACAAAAGUCAGAACAACUGAUGAUAGUCUGGGAUAGAGUGGAUGGCCUCAGCUUCUUUGAUAUCUGGCCAACCUCUAGACAUGCCAUAGCAUGCUCCUUAGCUGCCUUCAUCGCUAUUUGAACAUGUUGUUCUCAUCCACCAAUUCCAUAAGAAAAAGUCUUCACAUAACUAUGGUAAAUGUUUGUUUGUUUGUUUUUUUAACUUACCUGUGAGUUGGGACCUGUCAGGUUAGCCUGGUUUAGCCCAUCUGCUGAGAAGUUUUUACUGAAGAAUAACUGCUAUGCAUUCUACAGCUUCUUGGAGCCACAGCUGAGAUUUGGGUAAAAGGUGGACAUCAAAGGUGUAUGAGAAGCCCAGAAAAGAGCUUGUCAGGCCCUCACACCAGAGGUACUAGUCCUCCCCAAAUUACCCAUAUGCCCAGAUAUUAGAGUAUAAACCUGAUGGCAU
ensembl:lncRNA